UCCCUACGUGGCGCAGCAGUGGGGAAUAUUGGGCAAUGGGCGAAAGCCUGACCCAGCAAUGCCGCGUGAAUGAAGAAGGUCUUAGGAUUGUAAAAUUCUGUCCUAUGGGAAGAAACAAAUGACGGUACCAUAGGAGGAAGCCCCGGCUAACUACGUGCCAGCAGCCACGGUAAUACGUAGGGGGCGAGCGUUGUCCGGAAUUACUGGGCGUAAAGGGUGCGCAGGCGGAACCAUAAGUCUGAAGUAAAAGCCAUCGGCUCAACCGAUGUAAGCUUUGGAAACUGUGGAUCUGGAGUGCAGGAGAG
rnacentral:rRNA from 1 species